UGUCUAAGUACAAACUAUAUUAAAGUGAAACCGCGAAAGGCUCAUUANNNNNNNNAGGGUUCCUUAGAUCGUACCACAAUUACUUGGAUAACUGUGGUAAUUCUAGAGCUAAUACAUGCAAACAGAGCUCUGACCGGAGACGGAAGGAGUGCUUUUAUUAGAUCAAAACCAAUCGGCGGCAGUAGCAUUUCGGUGUUACUGUUCGUCGCUCAAUAUAUGGUGAAUCUGAAUAACUUUAUGCUGAUCGCAUGGUCUUGUACCGGCGACGCAUCUUUCAAAUGUCUGCCUUAUCAACUGUCGAUGGUAGGAUCUGCGCCUACCAUGGUUGUAACGGGUAACGGGGAAUCAGGGUUCGAUUCCGGAGAGGGAGCCUGAGAAACGGCUACCACAUCCAAGGAAGGCAGCAGGCGCGCAAAUUACCCACUCCCGGCACGGGGAGGUAGUGACGAAAAAUAACGAUACGGGACUCAUCCGAGGCCCCGUAAUCGGAAUGAGUACACUUUAAAUCCUUUAACGAGGACCAAUUGGAGGGCAAGUCUGGUGCCAGCAGCCGCGGUAAUUCCAGCUCCAAUAGCGUAUAUUAAAGUUGUUGCGGUUAAAAAGCUCGUAGUUGAAUUUGUGUUCCGCACUGUCGGUUCACCGCCCGCGGUGCUAACUGGCAUGUUUGCGGAACGUCCUGCCGGUGGAUGUUCAGUAAGUGAUUUCGGUCAUUUACACAUCCGACUUUGUAAUCCUGUCGCGGUGCUCUUAACUGAGUGUCGAGGCGGGCCGGCACGUUUACUUUGAACAAAUUAGAGUGCUCAAAGCAGGCUAACUAAUGCCUGAAUAAUUAGUGCAUGGAAUAAUGAAACAGGACCUUGGUUCUAUUUUGUUGGUUUUCGGACCCCGAUGUAAUGAUUAAUAGGGACAGAUGGGGGCAUUCGUAUUGCGACGUU
rnacentral:rRNA from 1 species